rnacentral:rRNA from 1 species
UACGGAGGAGGCAAGCGUUAUCCGGAAUUAUUGGGCGUAAAGCGUCCGUAGGUGGUUUAGUAAGUCUGCUGUUAAAGCGCGGGGCUUAACUCCGUAUCGGCAGUGGAAACUACUAGACUAGAGUGUGGUAGGGGUAGAGGGAAUUCCCAGUGUAGCGGUGAAAUGCGUAGAUAUGGGGAGGAACACCGGUGGCGAAGGCGGCCACCUGGACGGCUACUGACGCUGAGACGCGAAAGCGUGGGGAGCAAACAGG